UACGUAGGGUGCGAGCGUUGUCCGGAUUUAUUGGGCGUAAAGGGCUCGUAGGCGGCGUGUCGCGUCGGGAGUGAAAGCCCGUGGCUUAACUACGGGUCUGCGGUGGAUACGGGCAGGCUAGAGGCUGGUAGGGGCAAGCGGAAUUCCUGGUGUAGCGGUGAAAUGCGCAGAUAUCAGGAGGAACACCGGUGGCGAAGGCGGCUUGCUGGGCCAGUUCUGACGCUGAGGAGCGAAAGCGUGGGGAGCGAACAGG
rnacentral:rRNA from 1 species